rnacentral:rRNA from 1 species
AGAGUUUGAUCAUGGCUCAGGAUGAACGCUAGCGGGAGGCCUAACACAUGCAAGUCGAACGGGAUUGGUAGCAAUACCAUGAGAGUGGCGCACGGGUGAGUAACGCGUAUGCAACCUACCUGUAACAGAGGGAUAGCCCAUAGAAAUGUGGAUUAAAACCUCAUAGUUCUGAGAGUCCGCAUGGAUUUACAGAUAAAACUCCGGUGGUUACAGAUGGGCAUGCGUGACAUUAGCUAGUUGGUGAGGUAACGGCCCACCAAGGCGACGAUGUCUAGGGGUUCUGAGAGGAUGAUCCCCCACACUGGUACUGAGACACGGACCAGACUCCUACGGGAGGCAGCAGUGAGGAGUAUUGGUCAAUGGGCGCAAGCCUGAACCAGCCAUCCCGCGUGCAGGAUGAAGGCCCUAUGGGUCGUAAACUGCUUUUAUACACCAAGAAAAACACCCACGUGUGGGUGCCCGACGGUAGUGUAUGAAUAAGCAUCGGCUAACUCCGUGCCAGCCGCCGCGGUAAUAC